rnacentral:lncRNA from 1 species
GAGCGUCGGUGGAAGGCGGACAGGAUGCUGAAGUUUUACAACGGCCUCUCGGAAGUGGAGGCGGUGGGACUCCCUGCGGGGACCGACCCCCUGGACCCCACUGAUAUGAACGGGGUACACUUCGACCCGGAAGUUUACCUAGACAAGCUUCCUAGAGAGUGCCCUCUGGCCCAGCUGAUGGAUAGUGAGACGGACAUGGUGCAGCAGAUCCGGGCUCUAGACAGCAACAUGCAAACCCUGGUCUAUGAGAACUACGAUAAGUUC